CCUACGGGAGGCAGCAGUGAGGAAUAUUGGACAAUGGGCGCAAGCCUGAUCCAGCCAUGCCGCGUGCAGGAUGACGGUCCUAUGGAUUGUAAACUGCUUUUGCACAGGAAGAAACAACGCUACGUGUAGCGUCUUGACGGUACUGUGAGAAUAAGGAUCGGCUAACUCCGUGCCAGCAGCCGCGGUAAUACGGAGGAUCCAAGCGUUAUCCGGAAUCAUUGGGUUUAAAGGGUCCGUAGGCGGUUUAGUAAGUCAGUGGUGAAAGCCCAUCGCUCAACGGUGGAACGGCCAUUGAUACUGCUAGACUUGAAUUAUUAGGAAGUAACUAGAAUAUGUAGUGUAGCGGUGAAAUGCUUAGAGAUUACAUGGAAUACCAAAUUGCGAAGGCAGGUUACUACUAAUGGAUUGACGCUGAUGGACGAAAAGCGUGGGUAGCGAACAGGAUUAGAUACCCUGGUAGUCCACGCCGUAAACGAUGGAUACUAGCUGUUGGGAGCGAUCUCAGUGGCUAAGCGAAAAGUGAUAAGUAUCCCACCUGGGGAGUACGUUCGCAAGAAUGAAACGUCAAAAGGAAUUAGACGG
rnacentral:rRNA from 1 species